GAUGAACGCUGGCGGCGUGCCUAAUACAUGCCAGUCGAGCGAACGGACGAGAAGCUUGCUUCUCUGAUGUUAGCGGCGGACGGGUGUGUAACACGUGGAAACCCUACCUAUAAGACUGGGAUAACUUCGGGAAACCGGAGCUUAUACCGGAUGAUAUUUUGAACCGCAUGGUUCAUAAGUGAAAGACGGCCUUGCUGUCACUAAUAGCUGGAUACGCGCUGCAUUAGCUAGUUGGUAAGGUCACGGCUUACCACGGCAACGAUGCAUAGCCGAGGUGAGAGGGGGAUCGGCGACACUGGAACGGGGACACGGACCAGACUCCUACGGGAGGCAGCAGUAGGGAAUCUGCCGCAAUGGGCGAAAGCCUGACGGAGCGACGCCGCGUGAGUGAUGAAGGUCUUCGGAUCGUAAAACUCUGUUAUUAGGGAAGAACAGAUGUGUAAGUAACUGUGCACAUCGUGACGGUACCUAAUCAGAAAGCCACGGCUAACUACGUG
rnacentral:rRNA from 1 species